rnacentral:tRNA from 1 species
GCUCCAGUGGCGCAAUGUAACCUGCAGAGUGAUGCCGAGGUUGUGAGUUCGAGCCUCACCUGGAGCA